GCUGGGCGAGGUGGCUCACGCCUGUAAUCCCAACACUUUGGGAGGCUGAGGCAGGUGGGUCACCUGAGGUCAGGAGUUCGAGACCAGCCUGACCAACAUGGUGAAACCCCGUCUCUA
rnacentral:SRP_RNA from 1 species